rnacentral:lncRNA from 10 species
GACAUGAUACAGUAAGAAGGCCCUCACUAGAUGCUGAGAAGAUGCCAAUGCCACUGCCAUGCCCUUGGACUUCCCAGCCUCCAGAAUCAUGAGCCAAAUAAAUUUCUGUUCAUUGUAAGUUAUCCACAUUGAAAAUGAAUGGAGGAAGGAUGAAGAUGUGAGCUGAAGGGAGAGGAAGCUGACAACCCUGCACCAGGCUACCUACCAUCAGGACUUUUUCUUGGUUCCCAGGAACUCCUGGGGAAAAGGUGACGUGGAGUGAAUCAGCUCUUCUUUCAUCUUGGAAGUAAUAUCUUGACAUGCUGCAAACCAAUGAACCAUCAGAAACUUCACCGAGGUUUCAAACACUUGUACUAUGUGCACUACAACUAUGGACAGAGUGACUACUGGCAGAAAUGAACCCAUGUGAGAAUUCUGGGAUCGAAGAGAACAAGGAGCUAAAGGAAGUCAGUUGGAUGAUGUAGGAGGGAGGCUCCUGUUUUUCUGACAUCACUGCCAGAUGAAGCACCAAAUAAUUAGAAAGCUUUCACUCCAUUUGCCUUGGAUAGAUUUAAAGGCUAGGCACAGUCAUUUGUGUUAGUUAAAAUCUCUGAAACCUUAAAAAUAAAUAAAUAAAUAAAUAAAAUCA